rnacentral:rRNA from 1 species
GUCCACGCCGUAACGAUGACUGCUAGGUGUCGGUGGCAAAGCCAUUCGGUGCCGCAGCUAACACAAUAAGCAGUCCACCUGGGAGUACGUUCGCAAGAAUGAAACUCAAAGGAAUUGACGGGGACCCACACAAGCGGUGGAGCAUGUGGUUUAAUUCGAAGCAACGCGAAGAACCUUACCUGAUCUUGACAUCCCGAUGACCGCUUCGUAAUGGAAGUUUUCUUCGGAACAUCGGUGACAGGUGGUGCAUGGUUGUCGU